rnacentral:lncRNA from 1 species
ACAGAAACAGUAACACACAUCUACAACGCAUUGGUUUUGGAUUAGUUCUGUCCGUCAUUAUAAUUAACUUUAUUCUUUUAAUAUGAAGAGUUGUUAAAUUUAUCGAACUCUGUAGGAUUUGAAGGAGCCAGCUGAGAAGCAGCCUUCCUGAAUUCCACCGGUAGAGUUAUUUAAUAAAGUAUCUUAUAGUUUAAGCAAAUGUGCCAAACCAAAAGCCACAGGACAGAUUAGGUCUAGCAUAGUGUGUUACUUUUUGUUGGAAUUACAACUUUUAUGAGAGCAAUAUGUUUGUUGAUCCUAUUUGUACCUGAUUUUUUUUCCAAGCUCUCUCUAAAAUCUGAAUGUGGAACAGCGAUAUACGAGUCAAAAUCAGACCAAGUGACAAAGGUUAGUUUACCAGAUAUUUUAUGCCAUUUAUUUAGAAAUCUACUGUGUGUGUUGUACUCCAAGAAUUCCAGUAAUAACCGGUCAUUUUUUUAUAAAUCAUAGCGGUGAAAGGAGAAUUUCUAAAUAAAUGGCAUAGAGUAACUAAAACAGAAACAUGAAUCACACAUCUACAACGCAUUGGUUUUGGAUUAAUUCUGUCCGUCAUUGCAAUGGGAGUUGCAGCUUUAGUCUCCCAUUUAAGUUUUUGUGUCUAUAUGUCUGUAUAAUAUAUAUGUCUAAAUGUUGUUCUUGGUUUAUAAAGUUUGGAUUUUGAUGGGUCUUCUGUGUAGUUGUGUUUUGAUGGGUCUUUUGUUUGGAGAGUUGCUAUAGGAACAGAAUGAGAAAGAGAUUGUUUGGAAUUUGAAGGAACCGUGAUUGUUUGAAUUCUAAUACUGGACUAGAGUGUUCUGCUAUAUUUCUAGCAGAGAUUCGUUUGUCCAUGUGUGUUGCAGGUCUCGAGGAAAUUUCCUACCAAAGCUGCUCCUCCAAGGAAAAGAAAGUUGAGGUGAUUUGCCCAAUUACUGUAAUCUCAGAAGUUCAAUUUUUUGUGCACCAUUGAGGGAAUUUUUAGAUUUAUAAUAUACUUAAUAAUUGGACUGAUUUAAGCUUCUUAUGAUACGCUUUUUUGUGUUGAAGCUUAAUCGAACAAUCUUAUACUUAUAAUUUGUAUGACUAAAGAUAUCUGUUGCGCUUUCGCUUAACAGAUUAGCUUAUGGAUCAGACUCUUCACCCUUGAUUAUUAAAUAUAAUUCCGAU